ACGUAGGGUCCAAGCGUUAAUCGGAAUUACUGGGCGUAAAGCGUGCGCAGGCGGUUGUGCAAGACCGAUGUGAAAUCCCCCGGCUUAACCUGGGAACUGCCAUGGAGACUGCAAGGCUAGAGUGUGGCAGAGGGAGGUAGAAUUUCACGUGUAGCGGUGAAAUGCGUAGAUAUGUGGAAGAAUACCGAUGGCGAAGGCAGCCCACUGGGAUAACACUGACGCUCAUGCACGAAAGCGUGGGGAGCAAACAG
rnacentral:rRNA from 1 species